AAUUCUCAACCUCACCAUUUUUGUAAUGAGAAUGUGUGUAGGCUUGGAUGUGGGGGUUGCAGGUCCACUCUGUGGUCUGCUCCUCUGAAAUGUAUUAGUGGGUUUGGUCCCCUAUCUAUUGGUGUGAUAAUUAUCUACGCCGUGGACUGGAAGACUAUUAUUAUGAACCUGCUUCUAACCGUCCUUUACCGGACAAUACUUGACAU
rnacentral:misc_RNA from 1 species